CGGACGGGUGAGUAAUACUUAGGAAUCUGCCCAUUAGUGGGGGACAACUAGAAGAAAUUCUAGCUAAUACCGCAUACGCCCUACGGGGGAAAGCGGGGGAUCUUCGGACCUCGCGCUAAUGGAUGAGCCUAAGUCGGAUUAGCUUGCUGGUGAGGUAAUGGCUCACCAAGGCGACGAUCCGUAGCUGGUCUGAGAGGACGAUCAGCCACACUGGGACUGAGACACGGCCCAG
rnacentral:rRNA from 1 species